rnacentral:rRNA from 1 species
AUUGAACGCUGGCGGCAGGCCUAACACAUGCAAGUCGAGCGAGCGGCGGACGGGUGAGUAAUGUAGGGGGAUCUGCCCGAUAGAGGGGGAUAACUACUGGCAACGGUAGCUAAUACCGCAUACUAUCGAAUGAACCCAUAUGGGAUUAGCUAGUAGGUGGGGUAAAGGCGCACCUAGGCGACGAUCUCUAACUGGUCUGAGAGGAUGCUCCGCCACACUGGGACGGAGACACGGCCCAGACUCCUACGGGAGGCAGCAGUGGGUAUUAUUGCACAAUGGGCGCAAGCCUGAUGCAGCCAUGCCGCGUGUAUUAAGAAGGCCUUAGGGUUGUAAAGUAAUUUCAGCGGGGAGGCGUUACCUGCAUAAGAAGCACCGGCUAACUUCGUGCCAGCAGCCGCGGUAAUUC